AAGCAAAAGGAUCAUGAAAACUGCUGAAAAAGAUGCAUGGUGAUGUAUUAACAUAAAGUUAAUAGAGGUAUCAGCAGUAAUUCUGUUUCAUUUCCCUGCCUGGUGACUACCCUUGAAAGAUGUGGAUUGCUUGUAUGAAAUGACUCAUAUAGCUCUUCUGAUGGCAAUUCUAAUUAUUGGCUGUCUUGAGCAAGCAGGUAUCCAAAUCUGGCAGAACACGUAUCUGGAGCCUUUUGUUUUGAGAAGUGGAACAAUGAACAUGGCACUGAACAGCACAUGGCAAAUGUUGGGCCACUGGAUCAGUCUCACAUGGGGGACAUUUGCUGUUCCUUUUGGAGGUGCCUGUAAAAAUUGUCUAGAAUGACUUCUCUGUGCUCUGGCUUUCAUUCUUACUGAAACAUUAGAGGAACACUCUGGUACAGUGAAUUGCAGCAAACCCAGAUCCUCCUACACCAAAA